rnacentral:tRNA from 1 species
GACUCCGUGGCGCAACGGUAGCGCGUCUGACUCCAGAUCAGACUCCAGCGUGUUCGAAUCACGUCGGGGUCA